rnacentral:rRNA from 1 species
UACGAGGGGAGCUAGCGUUGCUCGGAAUGACUGGGCGUAAAGGGCGCGUAGGCGGGCGAUCACAGUCAGAUGUGAAAUUCCUGGGCUUAACCUGGGGGCUGCAUUUGAUACGUGGUUGCUUGAGUGGGGAAGAGGGUCGUGGAAUUCCCAGUGUAGAGGUGAAAUUCGUAGAUAUUGGGAAGAACACCGGUGGCGAAGGCGGCGACCUGGUCCUUGACUGACGCUGAGGCGCGAAAGCGUGGGGAGCAAACAGG